rnacentral:piRNA from 1 species
UGAAUGCCAUUAUAUUGUGUUCAGAUAGC